rfam:Schistosoma margrebowiei strain Zambia genome assembly, scaffold: SMRZ_scaffold0002951
UUAAAAGCCCUUUUCAGGGCCACCAACAAUUUAUUUAAAUUAAAUU